rnacentral:rRNA from 1 species
GUGUCAGCCGCCGCGGUAAGACGGAGGAGGCAAGCGUUAUCCGGAAUUAUUGGGCGUAAAGGGUCCGCAGGUGGCUCGCUCAAGUCUGCUGUCAAAGGUCGGGGCUUAACUCCGAACAGGCAGUGGAAACUGAAGUGCUCGAGUGCGGUAGGGGCAGAGGGAAUUCCUGGUGUAGCGGUGAAAUGCGUAGAGAUCAGGAAGAACACCGGUGGCGAAAGCGCUCUGCUAGGCCGCAACUGACACUCAGGGACGAAAGCUAGGGGAGCGAAUGGGAUUAGAUACCCCAGUAGUCCUAGCUGUAAACGAUGGAUACUAGGCGUUGCUUGUAUCGACCCAAGCAGUGCCGUAGCUAACGCGUUAAGUAUCCCGCCUGGGGAGUACGCACGCAAGUGUGAAACUCAAAUGAAUUGACGGGG